CAACGAUAUUUGGAUCACUUGGACUGAACUGGAAGCAGUAAAUGUCUUCAAGACACUCCAAUAUUAACUAGAAAGAAGAAAAACAAGCUCUCAUAUAAUACCCGUCAUUGAAGACUCAAAUGAGUAUUGUAACUGCUUUACCAGAAGCCAUCGGAUGCCAGCAAACGCAGCUAAUGGUUCUGUCCUUGAGGUACUGCAGCCUCUCAGAUGACAGACUCUCUGCUUUCUCUUCCUCUGAGAACUGCCUAGGACAAUACUGCGUGGCUGCAUUUUUUGGAUAGGUCCUAACCA